rnacentral:rRNA from 1 species
UACGUAGGGGGCAAGCGUUGUCCGGAUUUAUUGGGCGUAAAGCGCGCGUAGGUGGCAAUGCAAGUCGGGUGUGAAAUCCCCGGGCUUAACCUGGGAACUGCAUUUGUGACUGCAUCGCUGGAGUGCGGCAGAGGGGGAUGGAAUUCCGCGUGUAGCAGUGAAAUGCGUAGAUAUGCGGAGGAACACCGAUGGCGAAGGCAAUCCCCGUGGGCCUGCACUGACGCUCAUGCACGAAAGCGUGGGGAGCAAACAGG